UAUUGGGGAAUAUUGCACAAUGGGCGCAAGCCUGAUGCAGCCAUGCCGCGUGUAUGAAGAAGGCCUUCGGGUUGUAAAGUACUUUCAGCGGGGAGGAAGGGAGUAAAGUUAAUACCUUUGCUCAUUGACGUUACCCGCAGAAGAAGCACCGGCUAACUCCGUG
rnacentral:rRNA from 1 species